UAGGGAAUCUUCCGCAAUGGACGCAAGUCUGACGGAGCAACGCCGCGUGAGUGAAGAAGGAUUUCGGUUCGUAAAACUCUGUUGUUAGAGAAGAACAGCGCAUAGAGUAACUGUUAUGCGUGUGACGGUAUCUAACCAGAAAGCCACGGCUAACUACGUGCCAGCAGCCGCGGUAAUACGUAGGUGGCAAGCGUUGUCCGGAUUUAUUGGGCGUAAAGCGAGCGCAGGCGGUCAAUUAAGUCUGAUGUGAAAGCCCCCGGCUCAACCGGGGAGGGUCAUUGGAAACUGGUUGACUUGAGUGCAGAAGAGGAGAGUGGAAUUCCAUGUGUAGCGGUGAAAUGCGUAGAUAUAUGGAGGAACACCGGUGGAGAAAGCGGCUCUCUGGUCUGUAACUGACGCUGAGGCUCGAAAGCGUGGGGAGCGAACAGG
rnacentral:rRNA from 1 species